AAUCAAGCGCGAGAAGGGCGUUUGGCGAAUGCCUUGGCAGUAAGAGGCGAUGAAAGACGUGAUACUCUGCGAUAAGUCAUGGGGAGCUGAGAAUAAGCUUUGAUCCAUGAAUUUCUGAAUGGGGCAACCCACCUGACAGUUUGCUUUAAUUAUCCUUGAUAACCUAAAGCGGGCUGAACCAGGUACUUUAGGACUGAAUACAUAGGUCUUAAAGAGCAAACCCGGGGAACUGAAACAUCUAAGUACCCGGAGGAAAGGAAAUCAACAGAUACUCCCCUAGUAGCGGCGAGCGAACGGGGACCAGCCGAGCCAUGAGAGUGAUUAGAACCAGUUGGAAAACUGGGCCAUAGCGGGUGACAGCCCCGUAUAAGAAGCUCAAUUGGACGUAUUAAGUAGGGCGGGACACGUGAAAUCCUGUCUGAACAUGGGGGGACCACCCUCUAAGGCUAAGUACUCCUUACUGACCGAUAGUGAACCAGUACCGUGAGGGAAAGGUGAAAAGCACCCCGACGAGGGGAGUGAAACAGUUUCUGAAACCGGACGCCUACAAACAGUCGGAGCUUGACUGGACUAUAAUACCAACUUGAAAUCAAAAUGCUUUCAUGAGCAUGUCCGUUGCGGAAGCAAAGGAAAGCAUGUUUAUGAACGGUAUCUUGGCAGUCUUGUUUACAAUCCUUGGUCCUACCAUGAUGUGGACCAACUAUUGCGAUACAGGAUGUUUGGCGCGUUCACCUGCCGACGGCGGCUGGACAGUAAGCGCUAGCAGCGUGAUCUUUGAGGGUGCUCAGAUCGGGAACGAGCUUUUCGUGCGUUACGAUCUAGACCAUAAACUCGGACCGUUUCAGCCUACAUUCGGGG
rnacentral:rRNA from 1 species